CUAAGUGGCACAGGAAGAUGGGAGCCAGGGAAGUUGUGUGACAGGGGACAACCCAUGUCACCCACAACGGAAAAUAUGAACACCAGAAAUUUUCCUAUUCUAAACAAUGUGGGUUUAAAAUAUACUCUCUGGAGCCUCUCCUGAAUGUACAAGCACGGUGCUAUUUAUAGUGGUUGGUGUGUACUUUACCAAGAUUUUUAUUCCAACAAAGGAACUGUAUGUAAGGGAUUGACUCGCAGCACCGUUUUGGGCCUCCAGGAUGAUGAAGCCAAGAACCUCCCAGAACACUCCCAAGCACCUGAGCAAGAGUCCCCUUACUAACAUUCUGGAAUAUUCUACCAUCAUCCCUGCUCGCUUUCUCCAUCUGGCCAAAUGACAGUUACAAAUGUGGAUCUCUCAGACCUGCUGAUGAGAAUUCAUCAUCGUUCACAGGACUGAAUACUUCACUCGUGUUCCCAGCAGGAGACAACAUAUGACUCCUUUGAUCCUAUGAGUUUAGAAAGAUGAGAAUAAAGUUAUGGACUACCAUGUCAGGUUCUUAAGUAUUUCAAUUCCUAGGCUGGACGAUGAUGGUGUACGACGCCUUUAAUCCCAAGCACUCAGGAGGCAGUGGCAAGUGGAUCUCUGUGAGGCUGAGGCCAGCCUGGACUACAGAGUGAAUUCAAAGACAUCCAGAGCUACACAGAGAAACCCUGUCUCUAAACAACAACAACA
rnacentral:lncRNA from 1 species